AGGGGAAGGUGCAAUAGGAAUUCUAGCUUUGUUCAGGGCGCGUUGGAGCUCUGCAGGGACUUGUUGGUAGAUGACCAGCACAUCCUCAGCCUGUUUAAGAGCAGCAUUCCAGCCCUGUUCUUAAAACUAGGUAACUACUGUCACUUACAAACCAUGGGUAACCUGCCUCUCUUCCAGGCUUCCAGGAGGCAGUACAGAAAUAGCUGACCUUUGUCAUGUUCCUUUUCUUGUGGGUUAGGGUUAUGUGUGAGAAGGCCAUGUUCACCUGGGGUGGACUUCUCUGUGGUAUUACUUGAUAAAAAGAGCAUUUGGGGUGGGUGGCUCUGCAACCCGUACCCCCCUGAUGACACCCAGUUGGGCUUCUGCCUCCCCCACGCAGUAGUAUAAUUUCCUGCUUUCUUAGGGCUUGCCUGAAUCCAGUACCUGGGGGAGGAAUCACUAAAUGGUGGAGGAGGCAAUAAUAGGAAAGCAAAAGUGCAUGAAAGAAGGUUUCUCUUGUCCGUGUCCCACACUGUGAAGACAACUGCUUUUGCAUCACAACUCCCUUCAGCCUUGCAAGCGAUUUGAACAUCUGCUAGCAGUGGGGAGUAAAAACCAAAGUGGUAGAAACCCCACUAUUAAACCCCACCCUUAGCUGGGGCUGGCCAGAGGAGCUCACCGAAUUCAGAGCAAGCAAUUUGUACUUCUAGGACGAGCUGCUACAACACAUGCUCGAGGCCUGACCUGCGUGCGGUUUCCUCCCACAAAUGCAGCAGUUGGGUUCGUUAGCAGUGUGGGAGAGGAUCUGCACCAUUUUGAUGCUUCAUCCUCUUUGCCUGCUCUUUCAUGCAUGCCAACGUGAGCUCUCGCCCAGCGUGCACCAUCCUCCUCUGGAACAGGCCGUGGCUGCCGGCGAGAUUGGCAGCAGAGGAAGGGAUAACUUUGCAUAAUGGUUUGUUUGAUACGACUGUCAGCCAGCGUGGAGAGAGAACCAUGAUUCAAGGAGACAGAGCUUUGGCAAGAAUAAAGUGCAGCCACCUGUAUCACAUCAAAGUCUUCCAUUUGGGAAUGAGUUUCGGUGCGUAUCGGUUGCGUGAGAGCAAAUUGAUGGAGCCGGCUGCCGAGCGAAGCAGCUGGAAUCUUUCUUAGGAGAGCCGCAGUCGUUAAUUACAGGAGCCUAACUAAGCCCCAUCUCGAGCAAGGAGCAUUUUCUAGGUCUCCCUCCAUCCUUCGGUAAUUCGCUGCGUGAGUUGUCACAGCCCAGCCACGACUCUGGGAGGACUCAAAGCGACACCCACCUGUUUUAUGCCACCACCUGAACAAAACCUGAGUCCUGGUGAGCAGCUCCCUCUCUGCAUCCCUCACCUCCUGAGCUGGUAAAUGGCACCACAGCCAGGGCUGCAGGCAGCACACGUCCAUCUCGUGGGCUUCGGCACCUUCCCUGCCCCAGCUGGACAGAGCUGGUGGCUCUGGAAAGGAUUUGUUCUUUAUGAAUUUACCCCAGAGGAAACAGAGCUGGGGAGAAGCAGGAGGAAGCACUCAGGCAUCCUUAAAAGCCCAACGCUCCCUAUUGUGUGCCUCUGUGAUGUGUUCCUGGCUGACAACCCCAGUAUUUGCCGUGCUGUUGCCCCGUUUCAGAGCGUGCCCACACAGAGAGCCUUGUUUUAAUAUCUCCGGCUUGCUCACAGCCUUCACUCGCGCCACUUCAUGACCUGCGGUAGGGAGAUAAGAGCAUGUCCUGUGGCAGGAGCCUUCCUCCCUUCACAACAGAGAUACUGCAAGGAGAGAGGGCUGCGGACACAGCUCGGGCAGACAAAACUGAUUCGGUCUCUGCAGAAGAAAGUUGCACAUGUUUUCUUCAAAUGUCUGUGGAGCUGCCAGGAGGUGUGCGAGCCUAGCCAAGGGAGGCAGCAGCAGCAGCAGCUGGUGUCAGUGCCCCAGAGGGAUGCUCCUGGACUUUUGCUGGGGUUGGAUAGGAGGAGGAGGGAAGGGGGCACCGGGUCUCUAAUUAGGGGACUUUCUCCCUCUGGCUGCCUUUCAAUUUGCAGUGCUUGUGGGGGGAAAGCAGAGCCUGUGCCUGGUGAGAGCGGUUCACCUGUGCUGGGACCCCUCUCAAAAGCUGCUAAACAUUAAAAAAAAUAUAUAAAUCUGUGAGCGCUUUGAUAGUCCUCACAAGAAAGUGAAACAGAAGAGCCUUUGAGCUGCACGUAGGAAGAAAAAACCUCUGUGCAUUGCUGGGGGAAGAAAGGCUGGAGGAGCCGAAAUCUGGCAACAGUCCCCAGCUGGCGAGGGAGGUGCUUUUCUGCCUGGAGCUGAGCUCUUGUCACAGCUGAUGCAGAGAGAGAGGAAAAGCACAGGACGGACGGGAGGCAGCAACCAGCACCUCCGAACCUCCCGGGAUGGGGAGGGCGAGCCAGGAGCCAGCGCUCACCCUCUACCUUCACACAGCAGCUUGGUUCUGGGCUCAGCCCCACAGAGGCAGCGGGUGCCCCUUCCCCGCAUCCCCCAGGUUUCCAUAGCAAUCGGUGUCAGCCGUGCAGGGAAGCCGAUGGAGGGAAACGAGGGUUUCUCCCCAUCCUGGGCUGCUGUGGGGUGGGAGAAGGGGUGGGAGGAUGCUGCAGCUCAGCCUCAGCCAGGCCAGGGCACGAGGAGGGGUUUGUACCCCACGUGGAAGGUUUUGGGGCCACCCAUGCGAGCUGUGCCCUGCUUGGGGCAGAGCUGGUGCCGGCCCUGAUUGUCCUCUCCUGCAGCUCUUUCCCCCGCGGUCUGCUCUAUUUUUCCUUCCUUGGUGCUUUUCCAACCAGUGAAGUCAGAAACUAAUCUCUGCUUUUAA